GAUGAACGCUGGCGGCGUGCCUAAUACAUGCAAGUCGAACGCGAGAGGAGGGAGCUUGCUCCCUCUGAUCGAGUGGCGGACGGGUGAGUAACACGUAGGCAACCUGCCCAUCAGCCGGGGAUAACUGCGGGAAACCGUGGCUAAUACCGGAUAAUCCUCUCCACCGCGGGGUGGGGAGUUGAAAGACGGUUUCGGCUGUCCCUGAUGGAUGGGCCUGCGGCGCAUUAGCUGGUUGGCGGGGUAAGGGCCCACCAAGGCAACGAUGCGUAGCCGACCUGAGAGGGUGAUCGGCCACACUGGGACUGAGACACGGCCCAGACUCCUACGGGAGGCAGCAGUAGGGAAUCUUCCGCAAUGGACGCAAGUCUGACGGAGCAACGCCGCGUGAGUGAAGAAGGGUUUCGGCUCGUAAAACUCUGUUGUUAAGGAAGAACGCCAGGUAGAGUAACUGCUACCUGUGUGACGGUACUUAACCAGAAAGCCACGGCUAACUACGUGCCAGCAGCCGCAGUAA
rnacentral:rRNA from 1 species